rnacentral:rRNA from 1 species
GCAGGCUUGAGUCUUGUAGAGGGGGGUAGAAUUCCAGGUGUAGCGGUGAAAUGCGUAGAGAUCUGGAGGAAUACCGGUGGCGAAGGCGGCCCCCUGGACAAAGACUGACGCUCAGGUGCGAAAGCGUGGGGAGCAAACAGGAUUAGAUACCCUGGUAGUCCACGCCGUAAACGAUGUCUACUUGGAGGUUGUGCCCUUGAGGCGUGGCUUCCGGAGCUAACGCGUUAAGUAGACCGCCUGGGGAGUACGGCCGCAAGGUUAAAACUCAAAUGAAUUGACGGGGGCCCGCACAAGCGGUGGAGCAUGUGGUUUAAUUCGAUGCAACGCGAAGAACCUUACCUGGUCUUGACAUCCACAGAACUUUCCAGAGAUGGAUUGGUGCCUUCGGGAACUGUGAGACAGGUGCUGCAUGGCUGUCGUCAGCUCGUGUUGUGAAAUGUUGGGUUAAGUCCCGCAACGAGCGCAAC